GGAUGUGAGGGCAAUCUGGCUGCGACAACUGUCACCCAUUGACGGCCAGGGUUGCUUCGCUGAUCUGGCUGGCUAGGCGUGUGUCCCCUUCCUCCCUCACCACUCUGUGCACAUCCCCCCCCAAAACUGCGUGCUCAGUUGAAGAGGGUGAACUUCCCCGAAUAGGGGGGACCAGUCUUCGGUAAAGGGUAUGGGAGUAGCUGCGCUCCCCUGCUAGAACUGCCAAACAAGCUCUCAAGAAACAGUAUUUGGGGGCCAGGAACAAGACAAUGGAAUAUCCUAAAACUGACUGUAGUGACA
rnacentral:snRNA from 1 species